GACGAACGCUGGCGGCGUGCUUAACACAUGCAAGUCGAACGGUAAGGCCCUUCGGGGUACACGAGUGGCGAACGGGUGAGUAACACGUGGGUGAUCUGCCCUGCACUUCGGGAUAAGCCUGGGAAACUGGGUCUAAUACCGGAUAGGACCACUGCCUGCAUGGGUGGUGGUGGAAAGCUUUUGCGGUGUGGGAUGGGCCCGCGGCUUAUCAGCUUGUUGGUGGGGUGAUGGCCUACCAAGGCGACGACGGGCAGCCGGCCUGAGAGGGUGACCGGCCACACUGGGACUGAGAUACGGCCCAGACUCCUACGGGAGGCAGCAGUGGGGAAUAUUGCACAAUGGGCGCAAGCCUGAUGCAGCGACGCCGCGUGAGGGAUGACGGCCUUCGGGUUGUAAACCUCUUUCAGCAUCGACGAAGCGAAAGUGACGGUAGGUGCAGAAGAAGGACCGGCCAACUACGUGCCAGCAGCCGCCGUAA
rnacentral:rRNA from 1 species